CAUAAUCAUCGACUGCGCCAACAGUUUGUGGCUAAUAAAUUAGGUCUAGUGACCACAGAUGUGGGUGUUGAACACAAACUGUAAUUAUUUAUUAAGCCUCGUACACAUUCUUUCAGAGUGGCAGUAAUUAUUCCUCUGAUGGUUGAAUAUUGAUUCCUCACCUUUUCGUUCCUGCUAGUUUAUAUUGCUCUCUAAAUUAAGACCUCUGCAUCUUUCUACUCCACAGUGAAAUCCAGGAUGCUGAGUCAGACCCAUUCCACUAAUGGACCAGGCAAAGCUGCUGAUCGACUGCAUCAGCCACAGUCUGGAGGAAUAGGGAAGUGUGAUUUUGUCAGCGUUGCCUAUGUGGGUGGUCUCACACCAGGAACACUUGUUGUAGAAGACCACACUGAACAUUCCAGCUGCUGCUUACCAGUCACUGAUAUAUUAAGUUAAGCUAAUUAAGGCAAGACACAUUAGGAGGCAACAUACAGAACAUACAGUUUCUGCCGGUGAUACCUGAGCGGCUGGAGCCUUCAGGCGGCCGCAGCAUGAAGAGUUAACAGAGUGGAUCACCACAGUGGAUGUUUGUUCCGAUAGAAAAGCCGCGUUGUUUGUGGACGACCAACUAAUCAAUUCAGAGACAACCAUGGAGAAGGAAACUGCUUAAAGCCCCAGAGUGACAUGCCAGACGGUUGCUAAUGAUUACAACAGUGCAUAUGGCAGCGCUUGGCAACUGGCACCCCAAAACACGGAGCAGAGAAUAAGCCCUCGGGGCAGUCUCAGGCCUCUAAUUGGGCUCUCACCAGUGACAGGCUUGGCUAAAACGGAGCACUGGUCAGAUACAAACAGAAAGGAGAGAGAAUGUUUGUUAUUGUUAGAGACUGAGGAGAAUGAAAGGUGGCCUCCUUUUGGAAGUACCUCUAUGGGAUUCAUGCCAAACUGGAAAGAUCCAUCCGCUCCCAACAGAGACGCAUGGCUGACGUUCAGACUGACAAUGGUGCUCUUUGUUGAGACAUUCCCGUACGGUUGAUGAUAUUGUUUUGAGUUUUAUUGUCUGCUCUUUUUGUGUGCAAUAAACCCAGAAGAAGAUAAUGAAACCA
rnacentral:lncRNA from 1 species